rnacentral:rRNA from 1 species
AUUGAACGCUGGCGGCAGGCCUAACACAUGCAAGUCGAACGAGUGGCGGACGGGUGAGUAAUGUCUGGGAAACUGCCUGAUGGAGGGGGAUAACUACUGGAAACGGUAGCUAAUACCGCAUACCAUCGGAUGUGCCAAGAUGGGAUUAGCUUGUUGGUGGGGUAACGGCUCACCAAGGCGACGAUCCCUAGAUGGUCGGAGAGGAUGACCAGCCAAACUGGAACUGUGACACGGUCCCGCCGCCGACGGGAGGCAGCAGUGGGGAAUAGUGCACAAUGGGCGCAAGCCUGAUGCAGCCAUGCCGCGUGUAUGAAGAAGGCCGUCGGGUGGGAAAGUACUUGCAGCGGGGAGGCGUUACCCGCAGAAGAAGCACCGGCUAACUCCGUGCCAGCAGACGCGGUAAUAC